UGCCUUUAAUGGCCCAGGCACUAAGAUUUACACAGUGAGAGGUGAGACUCUUUAAUGUGCUGGGACUUAGCCCAUGAUGAUUUGUUCUGAGCCAUUUGCCACUAAAGUUAAAUCCUUAUAAAUAUAAAUUAUUAGCCAUACAGCUUCCUUUUUCUCCUGCUCAAGCACAAGCCUGGAUAGCGCAAAGGCCUAAAAAUUUUCUAGGGCAUUUAGAGAUAAUGAAAGAUGGCCACUUUGAUGCACAAAGACCUAAAUUUUAGUCCCUCACUGAUUAAUGAUUUGACCUUUGGGUGGGUCUUAAUAUCUGUCCUCUAUUUUAUCAACUGUGAAAUGGCAGAAUUAAAUAAAAGUGGUUUCUAAGUUUCCUUCCAGUUCAGAGAUUUAACACUAUUGUUUGUCCCCAAUACAAGAAAAGUUUAAAUACCAAUCAGUGGUUAUCAAAUAAUUCACCAAGAUCUAGAAUAA
rnacentral:lncRNA from 1 species